GGAUUAAUACCGCAUACGAUCUACGGAUGAAAGCGGGGGACCUUCGGGCCUCGCGCUAUAGGGUUGGCCGAUGGCUGAUUAGCUAGUUGGUGGGGUAAAGGCCUACCAAGGCGACGAUCAGUAGCUGGUCUGAGAGGACGACCAGCCACACUGGGACUGAGACACGGCCCAGACUCCUACGGGAGGCAGCAGUGGGGAAUUUUGGACAAUGGGCGAAAGCCUGAUCCAGCAAUGCCGCGUGUGUGAAGAAGGCCUUCGGGUUGUAAAGCACUUUUGUCCGGAAAGAAAUCCUUGGCUCUAAUACAGUCGGGGGAUGA
rnacentral:rRNA from 1 species